UACGAAGGGGGCUAGCGUUGCCCGGAAUGACUGGGCGUAAAGCGCACGUAGGCGGCUUCUUAAGUCAGGGGUGAAAUCCUGGAGCUCAACUCCAGAACUGCCUUUGAUACUGAGGAGCUUGAGUCCGGGAGAGGUGAGUGGAACUGCGAGUGUAGAGGUGAAAUUCGUAGAUAUUCGCAAGAACACCAGUGGCGAAGGCGGCUCACUGGCCCGGUACUGACGCUGAGGUGCGAAAGCGUGGGGAGCAAACAGG
rnacentral:rRNA from 1 species